rnacentral:rRNA from 1 species
UACGGAGGGGGCAAGCGUUAUUCGGAAUUACUGGGCGUAAAGCGCACGUAGGCGGCCAGGCGUGUCGAAGGUGAAAGCCCUCGGCUCAACCGAGGAAUUGCCUUCGAAACUGCCCGGCUUGAGUCCGGGAGGGGGGAGCGGAAUUCCCAGUGUAGCGGUGAAAUGCGUAGAUACUGGGAGGAACACCGGUGGCGAAGGCGGCUCCCUGGACCGGUACUGACGCUGAGGUGCGAAAGCGUGGGUAGCAAACAGG